rnacentral:sRNA from 1 species
AUGGUCCACGCGUACAUUCCGGUUCUUGCGUGCCGUCCACACCUGGCGGACGACUGCCGGACCUGGCGGGCGACUGCC